rnacentral:rRNA from 1 species
GAGUUUGAUCCUGGCUCAGAAUGAACGCUGGCGGCGUGCUUAACACAUGCAAGUCGUACGAGAAACCCCGGCUUGCCGGGGGAGUAAAGUGGCGCACGGGUGAGUAACGCGUGGGUAAUCUACCCUCGAAUUGGGGAUAACACACCGAAAGGUGUGCUAAUACCGAAUAAGACCACGACCUCCACGGGGGUUGCGGUCAAAGAUGGCCUCUGCUUGCAAGCUGUCGUUUGAGGAUGAGCCCGCGUACCAUUAGCUUGUUGGUGGGGUAAUGGCCUACCAAGGCAACGAUGGUUAGCUGGUCUGAGAGGAUGGCCAGCCACACUGGAACUGGAACACGGUCCAGACUCCUACGGGAGGCAGCAGUGAGGAAUUUUGCGCAAUGGGGGAAACCCUGACGCAGCAACGCCGCGUGAGUGAAGAAGGCCUUCGGGUUGUAAAGCUCUGUCAAGUGGGAAGAACCUUUUUCGGCCGAACAAGCCGAGAAACUGACGGUACCGCUGAAGGAAGCACCGGCUAACUCCGUGCCAGCAGCCGCGGUAA